CCUACGGGGCGCAGCAGUGGGGAAUAUUGGACAAUGGGGGAAACCCUGAUCCAGCCAUGCCGCGUGUGUGAAGAAGGUCUUAGGAUUGUAAAGCACUUUAAGUUGGGAGGAAGGGCAGUUAACUAAUAUUUGACUGUUUUGACGUUACCGACAGAAUAAGCACCGGCUAACUUCGUGCAGCAGCCGCGGUAAUACGAAGGGUGCAAGCGUUAAUCGGAAUUACUGGGCGUAAAGCGCGCGUAGGUGGUUCGUUAAGUUAGGAGUGAAAGCCCCGGGCUCAACCUGGGAAUUGCUUCUAAAACUGGCGGGCUAGAGUAUGGUAGAGGGUGGUGGAAUUUCCUGUGUAGCGGUGAAAUGCGUAGAUAUAGGAAGGAACAUCAGUGGCGAAGGCGACCACCUGGACUGAUACUGACACUGAGGUGCGAAAGCGUGGGGAGCAAACAGGAUUAGAUACCCGAGUAGUC
rnacentral:rRNA from 1 species